UACGGAGGUGGCAAGCGUUGUUCGGAAUUACUGGGUGUAAAGCGCAUGCAGGCGUCCUAAUAAGUCAAAGGUGAAAGCCCUAGGCUCAACC
rnacentral:rRNA from 1 species